rnacentral:misc_RNA from 1 species
AUAAUUUUUAUUUAAUUAAAAAGAGUCAUUAAAGAUCUAAAAAAUCAUUGGCAAGCUUGUGGGACCCAACAAAUUUUCGAUAUCAGAAAAAUUCAAAAUUAGUGUCAUUAUAAAGCUCUCGACGAGUAGGACGCGCUGGUGGCCUCUGAUUUUUGAUGGAAUUUAUGGUUUGGGAGGAAUCUGGCCCAGAAGACAAAAUGAGCUAAAAUUUUUGAAACUUGAUUUGCACAAACUGGAAAAUAAUACCAUGCAAACUUAAUAUCUACACGAUGCCCAUAAAGA